rnacentral:rRNA from 1 species
AACGAACGCUGGCGGCAGGCCUAACACAUGCAAGUCGAGCGCGCCCUUCGGGGUGAGCGGCGGACGGGUGAGUAACGCGUGGGAACGUGCCCUUCUCUGCGGAAUAGCCUCGGGAAACUGAGAGUAAUACCGCAUACGCCCUUUGGGGGAAAGAUUUAUCGGAGAAGGAUCGGCCCGCGUUGGAUUAGGUAGUUGGUGGGGUAAUGGCCCACCAAGCCGACGAUCCAUAGCUGGUUUGAGAGGAUGAUCAGCCACACUGGGACUGAGACACGGCCCAGACUCCUACGGGAGGCAGCAGUGGGGAAUCUUAGACAAUGGGGGCAACCCUGAUCUAGCCAUGCCGCGUGAGUGAUGAAGGCCUUAGGGUUGUAAAGCUCUUUCAGCUGGGAAGAUAAUGACGGUACCAGCAGAAGAAGCCCCGGCUAACCCCGUG